CUGAGGGGAGCAGCGAAGGCUAUCAUGUCCUGUUCCCCCUUUCUCAAGAUGCAGCAACACUUGCAAGUUCCUUCCUCCUCUUCUCUCCCCUCUCUCUUUUCUUUUGCUUUCCGAAUUUUAAAUCUCUGACCUAAAAGCAUCUGGUCCCUUUCGAGUUCCCCUGAAUCUUCUGAUUGUCACUCAGACUCCAGACCACAAUUCCAUGUGCAGUCGAGAUGGCGUCUUCUCCCACUACAACUUCUGCAUUCGGUGUGGAACCCGGCUACCUCCGGAUGUGGGAGUUGACCCUAAGAGCAAUACAAGAAGAAAUAUCCUGUGUUCCCUGGAAGAUAGCUCUCCGCUCAAGGCCACCUCUGGGACUGUGCCCUGGACAUACUCAGCUUGACACGCUCUUGUGCUACGUCCUAAGAGGCAAGAGAAUCUUCCACCUAACACUUUGUGUCAUUUCUAGGUCAAACACUUCAGAGCUUCCUUACCAAGUACGCUGAGAUGAAGUUAUUGUUGAAUCUGUUGAAAGAAAUGCUGGCAAUGGGAGGUAGCAUAAGUGAGAAGGAUCCUCCAAACCCUAGCUUGCAGAAAUUUCACCUGGGUCCUUUUUCAGCGAGGAGCAGGGUGUGGCCUCCUCUUGUGUGGCUGCCCGGGAAGCUGUACCUUGGAAGCUGCUCCACAGUGAAACUGCUCUCAGAGGGA
rnacentral:lncRNA from 1 species